rnacentral:lncRNA from 1 species
CCUCAUUAAGGUCUCAAGUUUAAAAAAUAAGACAUUUCCUGAGCAUUAGUAAUAGAUACAUGCAACAUCUCGAGAUUAAAUAAUUUAAUUUGAACUCCAAAGGGGAACCACAUUAUGGCCAUUCCCCGAACUUGAGGAACCAUGAAUAUCAACUUACGCUGUUUGUCUCGAGAUUAAAUAACUUAAGCUAGCCAUAUAAGAGAACAACUACAUGGGCGUUCUACAAAGUUGAGGCAUGGUUUUCCACGUUCAUAAACUAGAUAGUAUUGGGCUGCAGUGGUGUAUGCAGAAUUUUCCUAAGCGUUGUCGACAUUCAAAGAAGUGAACACAUGAACAAAUUACUGUAAUGACAUCAUAUAUUAAAAAAAAAUAACACAAUUCAAAUCCUAUUAAGAAAACAUAAUUCAAGUACAUUGCUACAACUCUCCUCAGCCAAUUUUCAUUUGAAAUAUAUCUAUAAUAGUCUCACUAGAAAUAAUAUUAAAUUCUUCAUUUUUCUAUAUAAGACACCAAACAAUCACUCAAAAACUCAUCAUUCAUUUGAUUCCGCAAAUCGGCCUUAAUCUACUUCAUCAUCCAGAAAUAAGAUGAAAGAAAAAAGAAAUAGUAAAACAACUUACAAUGGAAACAAUAGCACCUUAGAAGGGAAUUUAUUUUUCUUUGGAAUGUGUGAUAUUGACUCUCGACCUACUGUUUUAGUAUGAAUUUACCAUCUGAGAUAUCAAAAGUUCAAGCCCCACUUAUAUGCACAGAUAUUUUAAAACACAACGAUGCAUCUGCGAUGUUCGAACGCGUGGCCUCUCUUAUUAAACUAAGGCACUUGACCAGCAGAACCAAGAAGCUCUACCUACUGAUGUCAUUUUAGCUUAUUUAGCCUAUGUUUUGUUUUAGCAUAUUAUUAUAUAGAUAUAUCGUGAAAAUUUCCGACAAAGUGGUGUCGGAUAACACCAUGUAAGCAAACGUGCAUCUGCCCUGCUGGGAUGUAACCCAUAUUUACAUAUUAUCUUGCGAUGUAUAACAAAAUUUCUAUUCACCAGAGCAGGAUCACUGCCAUGUGUAAGUGUCUUUACAGGCAACAUAGUUCCUCGUCACAAUGGUCAGACAGUAAGAUAAAGAGAGCAGGCAACUUAACUAUUCACCAGGGUUAUUCAGAAACCAACAACAUCCAUAGAAUGGAAGCUUGUAACUUAUAUUCAUCCCAUGACUCGCCAUCAGCAUCACAUCCUUUUUUGCAGAAGACUCCCUUCAAAAAUUCAGACAUAGCAAAAUUGUGAUAUAUCCAAGCUUAUUCACGCCAAGAAACAAAUUACUACAAGAAUAAGUCGACACUAAAACAUUCAAAAUAAACUUAAAGUGGUAUUAUAUUUUUUUUAAAGAAAAUAUAUCUUAAAGAAUUGUUUCGUAACAAAAUUACAAAUAGAUGGACAUAAAGAAAGCAAGCUAAAAAAGGCCGGAGUGAUUGUUGUCAAAGUAUUGGGUUUUACUAGCUACCCUCCUUUUCCAUCUACUCCAUAGACAACAGACUUAAUAUCAGUAGAAUUAUCAUGCUUUCAAUUUCUUGAUGUCUAUGACAUGCAAUACUUCGAAAGUAGAGAAAAUUCCAAGUAGGUUCAUAUUUGUCCAACUAGCAUUGAGCCAGAACUUGCAACCAGUGUUGUAAAGGUCAUUUUUUAUAAGGAGCCAAAAUUUGAGAGCCUCAACUCAAGGUAUAAAAAAAGAGAGAAUUCAGAUACUUGAAUAAGGACCUGCUAAUGCAUCUUAUCCAUUCACAACUAGAUAUUCUUAAGCUACCCAUGGUGGCCUUUAAUUGCAGUGACAACUUACACAAAGAGAACAGACCAAUCACAAAUAGAUGACCGUUAGGAAAAUAAGACCUUCUAAUUUUCCAUACUUAGAGGAACUUGACAUUUUUUAGGACCUUGUUGACCGCUCCUGUUGGCAGUUAUCUUAAAAUUCUUUAAAGAGUUCUUACUUUACCAACUUAUCCUUCUCAAGAGAAGAGAGGUAGAUGAUUAAAAAUCUCAAUGUAGAGGAUUUUCUUUCACUUUUCUGCUUAACUAACACAUUUUUGAAUGCUCAACCAACACUCUUUCUAUUAUUGUAGUCCAAUCACACACCUUACGGCAUCCGGCAUCCUCAAAAUUAACAUGGCAACAUCACCAAUUUUAACACCAAAUGGUUAGAUCCAUAUACUGAUUAUCCAUAUCUAAGAGAAAGCUACAAUUUUAGAAACUAUGGAAGUUUCUACAAUUUUAACAAACUAUAAAGUGAAGAAAUGUAGAUCUACCAUAAAUUAUUGCCGACUAUUCAGAGCAGCUAGAUUGGCUCAAAAUCUUAUCACUUGAAAAUUCAGUAAGCUAACCAUAAAUUGCACAAAAGAGAAUUGUGCAACUCACUUCAUUGUAAGUAAUGAGUUACACCAAACACGCAUAUGAUGGUAAAGCCCAGUCAGCAGUAGUGCGAGUUUCCCGGAUUAUGAAGGUAGAAUAAGCUUGGUAAGAGUUGGAAGGAUUCAAAUUAAACAGCACGCCUGAGAAAUCCAACCAAAUGCGCAGGCCUAGAGGAAUGCUU